ensembl:piRNA 21ur-4002 ncRNA
UUUUGUAGCCAAAACAAAAGU